rnacentral:lncRNA from 1 species
UUUACUUCGCCUCGUUGUUCUUAUGUUUCUAGUUCUACUUUGUCAAGGUUAAUUUUUUUAUCUUUUAUAUAUAUAUAUAUAUAUAUAUAUAUAUAUAUAUAUAUAUAUAUAUAUAUAUAUAUAUAUAUAACUUUUAAUAAAUGCAUACACGCUAUAUAUGUAAAUUUAUGUUUUUUUUCUUCUCUUUUUGCAGGUGCUAUUGAAAAUAAGGUGAGAGUUUGUUCGAAACAAAUUUUUCUGGGACGCGCUGGAGAUACGUGCAGCAUAGAGCUUUGCAAUCACAAAUGCAAGAGAGCGUUACCGGAUGCUGUUGGUGUACGAGGAGAAUGUCUACUUAGCGAUACUUGCAAUUGUAUUUAUCGUUGCUAAAAUUAUUUAGUUAUUAAUGCAUUAAUUUAAUUUAUUU